AACGCUGGCGUCAUGCCUAACAGAAGAAAGUCGAACGCACCGCAAGGUGAGUGGCGCACGGGUGAGUUCUCCGUGGGAACCUGACACGAGGUGGGGGAUAACCGAGGGAAACCUCGGCUAAUACCGCAUUCGUCCUGAGGGAGAAAGGUCGGUCCGAAAGACAGGUUGCUCUGGGAGGGGCCCGCGUCGGAUUAGCUAGUUGGCGGGGUAAGGGCCUACCAAGGCGAUGAUCCGUAGCUGGUCUGAGAGGAUGAUCAGCCACACUGGGACUGAUACACGGCCCAGACUCCUACGGGAGGCAGCAGUGGG
rnacentral:rRNA from 1 species